GUUUGGACAGAGUGCGAUCAAUAGGAGGAUACUGCGACAGUUUGCUAUUACUUUGGAUGCAUACUGUCCCAACCAGAUAGUCCCAGUGUUCGAGGACAGGCCAAUCAAAAAUGAUAAUACUCAGUGCAGUCAGCACUUCACUGACCAACAGUACGAGUUUGAUCCCGUCUCUGGAAAUGUGACUGUGGAGUGGAAGGGAACUGGACCCGAUGCAACUGUUCAAGUCACCCAGUUCAUGUGUAUAUUACCCAAUACGGGCAUAUUUUCCUGUAUUAGUCCCCUUGUCAUCACCGGUCUGUCCCCUGGAAGCCACACCCUCUUCGUCACACCAGUGGGAAUCAGUGGAUGUACAAGGAUGAUCCCUACGAGCUUACUUAUAACCAUCUGAACAAACUCAUAAAAUACUAUAUAUGCAGACAUAAUACAUUUGUGCUCCUCCUAUUCAUAAUGCCUCUCAGAUUUAGCAUCAUUAUCAUAGAGCUGUCGAUAAUUUAAGGACAAGUAGAUAUGUCCAUCAAACAGAAAACAGAACAUAUUGUAGCUGUGAAGGUGAUUAUAAUUAUGUUGCCAUUAUUAAUUUUUGUCACUUUGUGUGUAGCAACACACUAAAAUGUAAUUAUUUAGUUAAUG